ACUGCUCAGUAACACGUGGACAACCUGCCCAAAGGUCCGGGAUAACCCCGGGAAACUGGGGAUAAUACCGGAUAAAUCACAAGUACUGGAAGGUUUUGUGGUUGAAACUUCCGGGGCCUUUGGAUGGGUCUGCGGCGGAUUAGGUUGUUGCCGGUGUAACGUACCGUCAAGCCUGUAAUCCGUACGGGUUGUGGGAGCAAGAGCCCGGAGAUGGAUUCUGAGACACGAAUCCAGGCCCUACGGGGCGCAGCAGGCGCGAAAACUCUACAAUGCAGGCAACUGCGAUAGGGGAACAUCGAGUGAUACUCAUCUUGGGUGUCUGUCCUCCCGUCUAAAAAACGGGAGUUAGCAAGGGCCGGGCAAGACCGGUGCCAGCCGCCGCGGUAAUACCGGCGGCUCGAGUGGUGGCCGAUAUUAUUGAGUCUAAAGGGUCCGUAGCCGGCUUUGCAAGUCUUUUGGGAAAUCCAGCGGCUUAACCGUUGGUCGUCCGGGAGAUACUACAUUGCUUGGGACUGGGAGAGGUAGGAGGUACUCAGGGGGUAGGAGUGAAAUCCUGUAAUCCUUUGGGGACCACCGGUGGCGAAGGCGUCCUACCAGAACAGGUCCGACGGUGAGGGACGAAAGCUAGGGGCACGAACCGGAUUAGAUACCCGGGUAGUCCUAGCCGUAAACGAUGCUCGCUAGGUGUCACAACAAUCGUGAAUUGUUGUGGUGCCGUAGGGAAGCCGUGAAGCGAGCCACUUGGGAAGUACGACCGCAAGGUUGAAACUUAAAGGAAUUGGCGGGGGAG
rnacentral:rRNA from 1 species